rnacentral:antisense_RNA from 1 species
ACUUGGGACCCCCUUUCCACCCAGGACCACAGGCUCAAGAUGGCCUGGUAGAUGCAGCCGGCACGCGCCUCUCCUCUGACGGGAACCGAAGGAGCCGGUAGGUUUUCACAUUUGCAGCAGAUCCGCUAAGAGAACGCGGGAUUCAGCGGAGAAGCCACGGGGAGCCCGAGGAGCGGAGCAGAGGCACCCAGGCAGCCUGCGCGGAGAAAUCGGAUCGGCGGGGACGGCCUGCAGCUCCCGCGCGCGGGGAAAGG